CCGGGGCGCGCCGGGAUGACGCCGGGGCAGGCGGGGCCGCUCCCGCCGCCGCUUCCGCCGCUGACGGCAUCACCGCGGGCCCGCGGGGCUCCGCUCCCGGUCCCCAUCCCCAUCCCGGCCCAUCCCCGCCCUCAGGCGGUCACCGCGCCCCGGUGCCCGCGCUGCCGGCGCCUGGCUCGGGUCCAGAGGGCGCCCGGGCCGUGCCGGUGGGGCGGGAACGGGCACGGAGCCGCCGCCGCCCCCGCUCGGGGUGCCCGGUGCGCGGGGAUGAACGGGGCCGUGCGCGGGUUCGCGCUGCUGCCGCUGCUGCUGCUGCUGCUGCUGCCCCGGGCCGCCCGCGGGGCCGCGGUGUGCGGGCUCUGCCCGGGGCCGCCGCGGAACGGCUCCAUCGUGUCCCGGUUCUGUGAGUCCCGGCGGGACACCGAGAGCGACGGGCGCUGCUGCCGGGAGCGGGGCCCGGCCCCGGGGCGGCUGCUGGGGCUGGACCUGAGCAACUGCUCCCUGCAGAGCGUUCCCCCGGGACUGGCCGAGGCCGCCGCUGCCUUCGUCCUGGACCUGACAGAGAACCCGCUGACAGCCGUCCCCAGUGCUUCCUUCAGGGGCUUCACCCGCCUGCAGAGCCUCACGGUGCCGCCAGCGCUGGAGUGCCCGGGUGGGAGUGAUGCCUGGCAGGACGUGACAGUGGACAGGAGCAGCCGGCUGUGCCAGGGACAGAGGAACGCCUGCAACAGCUCUGAGCAGCUUGCCUGGCCAUGUCCUGAAAACUCCGUGUGUGCCCCCGACGGCCCCGGCCUCGUCCAGUGCCUCUGUGAGGGUCCCUUCCAUGGCUACAGGUGCCUGCGAGAGGGCACGUUCCCGAUGCUUCUCUUCGGAGGAAUCCUGGGCACCGCCACCGUGUCGCUGUCGCUGCUGCUGUGGGGCACGCAGCGGAGGAAGGCCAAGAGCCCCUGAGCAGGGCAGGGCGCCGUGCCUGGCCUGGAGGCUCUGGGCACCAAUAAAGCUGCAGCACUCACCGUCUGAGGACACCAUGGACCGAAGCCCAAACUGAAGGAGAUAAGAAGGAGCCAAAAGCACAGCCAAGAAACACACACGCUCUAGAAAGGCAGAUCAAAGGAGAGGCAUGUAAAAUAGUUCCUGGAAAAUGGAAACUCGUUUAUGGAUAUGCAUAAGGGCCAUGAAUAUUCAACAGGCUGAUGUAAUUAAAAGGUAUUUCCGGGAUAUCCCCGAAGAUAACAGGGUGCUCUUGGCUGAGUGCAACCAUGCACCUGGCUGUAUUAACCUUUGCUCCGCGGUCCUCGU